CCACAACGCGCCCUUGACCUCCAUUGGCGUCGAGCUAGAGCUCUCUAGAGCGCGCCCGAACCCCUCCCGCGGCCUAUAUAAGGAACCUCGACCCCUCCCAUAGCUCCCAAGCCUCUCCUCUUUCCUCCUCGACCACCGGAGUCCUCGCCCCCUCCUCGCCAUUGCCUUCUCGGUCAUUGCCAGAGUCAAGCUGCCCCGGCCAAGCCGAGCCUCCUCUAGCCUCCCCUCCACGUCCACUGCCUCCCCCUCUUCCCGCUGAGCCGCCCCACCCACUUCCCGCCUCGCUGGAGCGGCCGCAUCACCAAAGAACCCCGUCGCCUGAAGCUUCCUGUACUCUCCAUGGCGCCACCCUCCUCUCCUCCCCGCGCCUCCCCGGAGGCCGUACUCCCUCUGGAUGGGUGCGGUUGGCCGCUGUGGUCCCGUCGGUGCCCUCGGCCGGGCUGGAGACGGCCCAAGCAGGUCGGCCCCCUCGCCGCCCCUCCCCUGCUCUGCCUCUGCUUCACGCGAGGAACAGGGCGAGGGGGAGGAAGGGGACGAGCACCCAUGCCCUCCUCCCCCUGCGCCUGGGACCGACGCGCCGGUGCCCCAGCACCUUGCCAUGUGGAUAAGUGGAGGCACGUUUCCCUCUUGGCGCUUUUCUCUUCUGAAAGCAUGUUCCCCGAAAUACGUUUUCCCUUUGAGGAAACGUACUUUUGUUGUUCUUCGGCUAAAAAUACGUUUUUUUUGCAGAAGGCGUAAUCUGCCCGAAGGCGCUUUCAGUUUUUCCUCCAAGGACCUGUUUGUUGAAGUUUUAUUCACAGAUUGGUCCCUGGUGUUCAACACCUCAUAACUCCGCAACCGUAACUCUGAUUGAGCCCCCUCCGAGAGAGAACCCAUUUCGGCGAUUCUUUCCGCGGCUUCACCGCACUUCUCCCCGGAGCCUCCUUCAUCCCCAGGAAAGACACAACCACCAUUUGCAUGAUAGCCAUGCAGAAGCAUGGGUUUUCAACUUGAAUCUUUAAUAACUUUUUGUUUGCUUUGCUGCUGAUGUCGGUAUUUCGGUUAUGCUUAUGGAUCGGUGUUUACCGGCAUGCUAUGUUUUCAUCCAUGCUGUUAUUAUGUUAUUCAUGCUAGUAUUACUUUAAUAUUGGCAAUGUUUGGUAGUAGUAAAUGUUGGUGAUGGUCUUCGGUGCCUGACGAUUGUCUGUUCCGAGUACCGGUUUUAUGCCUGUUCCUUUGCAUCCAGUUGACUAAAUACUUGCAUGGUAGUUUUAUCGUUAUGUUAUUGCAUGGUAUUUAUUGUUGAUGCUAAUGGUCAUGUUAUGCUAUGAGUAGUAUUCUAGUUGUGAUAUCUAUGCUCGUCAGUAUGCCAUGCUCAUCUCAAUAAAUGGUUAAAUGUCGUUGUUAUGCUUGUUGAUUGGGAUGCACCCCCAUGCUUAUGUUAAUAUCAUGUUCAUGCAUUGUAGUUGCAUCAGGUUAUUUUUAUCAUGACUCGGCAUUUUGCAUUCAAGAUUAACCGGAUUAAAUUGAACUUGAACAACUGUUGGCUGAGUCAUGCUGCCAUGAUACGUCUCCAACGUAUCUAUAAUUUUUGAUUUUCCAUGCUAUAUUAUAUUUUGUUUUGGAUGAUUAAUGGGCUUUGUUAUACAAUUUUAUAUUAUUUUUGGGACUAACCUAUUAACCGGAGGCCCAGCCCAAGUAGCAGUUUUUUGCCUAUUUCAGUGUUUCGUUUAGAUAGCAUUAGCCGCUUUUCUUCCUUUCCAGAAAAAAUAUAUCAAACGGAGUCCAAACGGAAUGAAACCUUCGGGAACGUGAUUUCUGGAACAAACAUGAUCCAGAGGACUUGGAGUGGAUGUCAAGCAACACACGAGGCGGCCACGAGGUAGGGGGCACGCCCCCCAGGCGCGCCCUCCACCCUCGUGGGCCCCUCGUGGCUCCACCGACCUACUUCUUCCUCCUAUAUAUACCUACGUACCCCGAAACCAUCAGAGGCAUCCAUGAAAACCUAAUUCCACCGCCGCAACCUUCUGUACCCGUGAGAUCCCAUCUCGGGGCCCUUUCCGGAGUCCUGCCGGAGGGGCCAUUGAUCACGGAGGGCUUCUACAUCAACACCAUAGCCUCUCCGAUGAUGUGUGAGUAGUUUACCUCAGACCUUCGGGUCCAUAGUUAUUAGCUAGAUGGCUUCUUCUCUCUCUUUGGAUCUCAAUACAAAGUUCUCCUCGAUUCUCUUGAAGAUCUAUUUGAUGUAACUCUUCUUUUUGCGGUGUGUUUGUCGAGACCAAUGAAUUGUGG
rnacentral:rRNA from 1 species